rnacentral:lncRNA from 1 species
AUAAAUUCAACUAUUGAAUUUUUCUUGUUUCAUGUCUAAAGGACUGAACUGAUGGUGAAUUUAAAUUUAAAGAAGUCAGCUACCAUGUUGAAAAUAAGGAUAUUAGAACUGAUUUCAUACAGUAGAGGUGAUCUGUGCAUUAUCCAUAACAACAUUUUCUUUCACAAUAGGACCACAGACAAAUAUUUAUGUAAAUAGAUAUUUUUGUGUGAUAUUUUGUGGUACUUAUAACUUUUUUUAGUGUUUCACAGCAUUAUUAUUUCAUUUUAUUUGUAUUGAAUAAUGUUUUUAGGUCCAAGUAGACUUGAAUUAAUGUCAUAAUUGUCAGUAUUAUUGAAAUUAUGUCAACUGUACUGUUUUUCAUCUGUCCCAUAGUUUAGAACAUGACCCGGCUAUCUGGCAUUGUUGCAAGUGCCUUAAAUUCAUGGCAUCCUAUUAAAAAACAAAUUUGGUGUUAUGCUGCAUGACAAAGACAAACACACCUCAAAAUGUUGUCCUUUCUUAGCUUGCUGCGUUUUACAGUUCUUUCUGCUAACAAUUUAUAAGCCUUUAUUAUAUAAUAUUGAUGAAUUACAGAAAUGAUGAAGUUGUUCUCUUAUUUCUGUUAAAUGUACCAGAGCUGUGUAUCUGUUAAUGAGAUACAGCGUCAUUUCUGUGAAAUGUAUAAAUGUACGUGCAGGUCAAAUUAAUAUAUGACAUACUAUCAGUCUGUAUACAGGUAUUCCUGUUUUGCUAAGCUGUGCAGAUUCAGUUUAAAUAUUAGUGCAGUCAAGUUCUAACAUAUCUCAUUUUAUUGACUCCAUUAACAAUGGUCCAACUGAAAAGAAAAAUUGGAAAGUGACUGCUAACUACACCUUGUUAUGAAACCAAUGAUGAAAAAGAAUCUUGGUGCAGCACUCAACAAAACAGGAUGCUUUCUCUGAGUUCUUGUAUAUGCAAAUCAUGGAUGAGGCAAAUUUUCAACAGACCUAGAAAGCUAAACAUUGAAAGUGUGUUGUUAGUCCUCUUCUCUAUCUGCCCCUGCGUCAACAGAGCUCUGGGACCUUGACGAUGACUCAGAGGUUUGGGCUUUCUGAGUAAAGGGACAUUUCUUUAAGCAUCAUCUAUCAAAUUUAUUUCAAUGUAUGAUGUUUUUACCAUUGGUCCGUUCUUUUGUAUUCUUACAGCUAUGGUUAUUUGAUUGUCCUCUUACAAUUUGUUCUACAUGAAAGAGUCCUUUGUUAGUCAGAAUGCAACAACUGUCAUCAAAUGGUCAUUGACCACUUGCACUCUUUUGAUGUAGAUUAAAAACUUUUUCAUAAACUUAACCUGCUUUGAUUUGCUCUGUAUUUUUCCUGCAGCUGUAAUUGCCGAGUGCC